rnacentral:rRNA from 1 species
AUUGAACGCUGGCGGCAUGCCUUACACAUGCAAGUCGAACGGCAGCGGGCCUUCGGGUGCCGGCGAGUGGCGAACGGGUGAGUAAUGCAUCGGAACGUGCCAUUGAGUGGGGGGAUAACGUAGCGAAAGUUACGCUAAUACCGCAUAUUCUGUGAGCAGGAAAGCAGGGGGACCGCAAGGCCUUGCGCUCUUUGAGCGGCCGAUGUCAGAUUAGCUAGUUGGUGAGGUAAAGGCUUACCAAGGCGACGAUCUGUAGCGGGUCUGAGAGGAUGAUCCGCCACACUGGAACUGAGACACGGUCCAGACUCCUACGGGAGGCAGCAGUGGGGAAUUUUGGACAAUGGGCGCAAGCCUGAUCCAGCCAUGCCGCGUGAGUGAAGAAGGCCUU